GGGUAAACCUGAGAAACCCGAAAGGUCGAAAGAGGAAAUUCAUUCGCGUUUCGGCGUCGAAGUUAAGCGUUUGUAUGACGAAAGAUGUUUCGGCGUUUUUUGCUUCUUACGUUUUUCGAGUCGAUGUCGAACGCGUGCACUUUUCCUCUAGUAGGACGUCGCGAUCCGUUGGGUGUCUGUCUAGGGUUCGAGGUGGAGCCCACGUAAUUUCGAUUGCGUGGACCCUUGAUGUCCCGACAGACUCGCUCGACGGUAUGCUAAUGGCGUAAGGCCGCUACUUAAGUUAGCGUUCGGCCCGUAGCAAGCGCGUUCUGUGUUGACGGCCAUCGGACCUGGUGCCGAUUCUGUCCCGGAACGACUGUUGGUUGCGGUGUUCUCGAACAGACCUUAUAUUUGAAACGCCGAUCAGCGACKCUAUAGAUUUGGGUACUUUCAGGACCC
rnacentral:rRNA from 1 species